rnacentral:sRNA from 1 species
ACGGAUAAUGAGAAAUUGGUGAAAAUGCCUACGCCAGGUGUUGACAGUGUGAAAGUAGCAGUGCGAGUGCGGCCUUUUAGUCAGAGAGAGAAGAAUCCUGGGAGCAAAUGUGUGAUUUCCAUGCAUUCCAGAAUCACCACCACUACACAGGACCCUAAGAAUCCAGAGCCUGUGAAGACAUUUACUUUUGACCUGGCAUAUUGGUCUCAUGAUGGAUUUCAAAGGGAUAAGGAUGGUGUCCUUAUUUCAGCUGAUCCUAGUCGUAAAUUUGCAGGCCAGAGAGAUGUCUUCCACGACCUUGGCAGGGGAAUUCUGGACAGUGCUUGGCAAGGCUGUAAUGCAACUCUCCUAGCCUAUGGCCAAACUGGCUCUGGGGAAAGCUAUUCCAUGAUUGGGUUUGGUGCAAACAAGGGUAUUAUUCCAACUGUGUGUGAGGAGCUCUUUCAAGCAAUUGAGAACCAGGGGAGAAAUCAAGAACACCAGGUUACGUUCAGUAUACUGGAAAUUUACAAUGAACAGAUAAGAGAUUUACUGUCCAGAACCAAAAAACCUGGUGGGCUCAGAGUAAGGGAAGAUCAACAGCUGGGCUUUUACGUGGAAGGCCUGAAGUUAGUGCCCUGUGAGAACUAUGCCCAAAUUGAAAGGCUGAUGGAACAAGGAACAAAAAUAAGGACCACGACUUCAAACAACAUGAAUGCCAGCAGCAGCUGGUCCCACCUGGUCAUCACCAUCCAGUUCAAGCAGGUUUUCCUAGACAGAGACCUUACCAAACAAUCCAGUAUUAAUUUGGUGGACCUGGCAGGAAGUGAGAGGCAGAAAUCUUCAGGAUCUGAAGGAGACAGACUGAGGGAAGGAUCACGCGUUAACUUAAGUUUAACCAAUUUGGGAAGUGUUAUCAGUGCUCUGGCUGAUGCAGCUAUGGGGAAGAAGGUCUUGCACAUUCCAUACAGAGAUUCUGUUCUGACCAAACUGCUCCAGUCAGGUCUGGGUGGGAACAGCAGAACCGCUUUGAUUGUGGCUGUUAAGUCCAGCUGACAUCUGCUAUGAGGAAACUCUAUCAACAUUAAGAUAUGCGGAAAGGGCUAAAAAGAUCCGGAACAAAGCAGUAGUCAACACCUGGACACUGAUGAGAGAGUCAAGGGUGGAGAACAGCAAGCUGCUGCCGAGAUGCAGAGCCGUCGGCCUGUCUCCAGGCAGAGCAGCAGCUGGGGACUCCUGAUCAGGUGAUCUGGGCACACCUGCUGGAGAAGGCCCAGGAGCGGCAGAUGAUGACCUUCCCUCACCUUCCUAACGUCAACGAGGACCCUCAGCUCACCGGGGUCCUCAAGUACUUCAUUCAAGCUGGUUCAUGUGACGCUGGUCAGGCUGCCUCAAAUGCUAUCACGAUUCAAGGUUUGGGAAUUUCAGAUAAACACGCUUCCUUCACAAAUGCCGACGGUAAAGCGACGGUCACUCCACACAGCAAAUGCAAGGUUGCCGUUAACGGGGUGCCCAUCACCACCAGGACAAAGCUGCAGCAUUUGGACCGCCUGAUUUUGGGAUCCAGCAGCACCUACCUGUACGUGGGGUUUCCUUCAGAGCGGGGCAGUGAGGACCUGAGCAGGUUCGAUUACGACUUCUGCCAGCUGGAGAGGGCAGCCGGGGAGGGAGUGAGCGCAGACAAACUCGGUGCUGUGGACGGUGGAGACGGCAAGGCAGACCCCAGUGUCCUGGCUGCGUUCCAGGACUACAUCAAACUGAUGCCGCUGGUUGCAGAAGCAAAUCAAAUGAAUAAAGAGCUGAAGAAGGGACUUAACAUGGAAUUGAAGGUGAAAAAUUUGGCAUCGUCAGAUUCCAGGGGCUAUGACCUACAGAAGGAGGUCUUGGUGAAGGUGACCCACCACGGGUCUCACGAGGUGUGGAUAUGGUCAAAAGCCAAGUUCAUCAAUAGGAAAUUCCUAAUGCAGGAACUUUAGCAGUGCUUUCUAGAUGGAGAUAACGGCUUUGUGGCUCAAGAAGAUGACCCUUUCUGGGAUCCUGUCGAGGUCGUCCGCUUGGGCUCAGCUCACAUCUGGCUCCAGUCGCUGGCCUACUGCAUGAAACUGGAGGAGCAAGUGGAGUUUCUGAACUGUGACGGGCUGGAGGAGGCGGUGCUGCAUAUCUGCAUAGCACCCUGCUCCCCCACAGGACAAACGCAUGGUGAGGAGGAUGUGGUUAUCGACCCUUUGGAGCUGGUGGGCAAGAGGAUGAUUUUCAGAUUCACAUUGUCCGGUGCCUUGGCGUCAACUGGAUGAAGGAAGAUGCAAAGCGGGGCAUUCAGAUAGGGCAGCAUCAAACCAGAUACCAGAACUUUAUCUGAAGCUGCUCAAGCUAGAGCAGAAGACAGAACUGCUCAGGAACAUUAACACAGCCCUGAGAGAAGAGAACGUGCUUUUCAAAGCAUCACUCGCGAAAAUUGCUUCUGGUCAAGCCCAGAAGCCUUCCAACACUCUGAAGAUCAGUGGGAUGACUGCGCAACUGCCAUCCGCCAGGGAGAUGAGCCAAAUGUGCACAGAGCAAGCCGGCUCUGACCGAGAGCUUGCCAAGGCUCUGAAGGUGUUCUACCAAAGCAUGAACACGGCAAGAGGGCAGCUUUUCAGACUCAGACGGUAUAAACCUCCUGAAGAUGAUCAAAUGCUUCCACUGUUCAUAUACCAACGGUCACAGAUGUUUAAGGAUUUGGGGGAUCUACUUGAAUCCAGCUUGUGGAAACUGAAAAAUGACGUUGCUCUUAUAGUGAAAAAGAUGAGAGAAUAUUUAUUGCAUAUCAAAUAGUGA